CAGUUCGAUGAUGAUCACUGUUGUUUGCCUGAUUUUCUGAAUAAUGAGGGCAUCUUCAGUCACUAUCUCUUCUGAGACAC